rnacentral:rRNA from 1 species
UACGUAGGGUGCAAGCGUUAAUCGGAAUUACUGGGCGUAAAGCGUGCGCAGGCGGUUUUGUAAGUCUGUCGUGAAAUCCCCGGGCUCAACCUGGGAAUUGCGAUGGAGACUGCAAGGCUGGAGUCUGGCAGAGGGGGGUAGAAUUCCACGUGUAGCAGUGAAAUGCGUAGAGAUGUGGAGGAACACCGGAUGGCGAAGGCAGCCCCCUGGGUCAAGACUGACGCUCAUGCACGAAAGCGUGGGGAGCAAACAGG